GAUCAUUAAAUUUAUUAAAUUUCAACAAAAUAAACGGAUAAUAGGUAUGUACUAACUUUUCAAAGCUAACGAUGUUGUAGUUAAGCGAACGUAGAUUAAAUAACCGUGCAUAAUUUAUGGCAUUUAUAGCUGUAUCUCCUUCCUUCAAAAAAUCAUCAUUAACGCAGUCCAAUAAUCCAUCGGAUCUGAAUUCUAUCCGUGCGCGUACAUCGAGGAUCAAAUUACCCAUUAUACCCGAUUUGCCAAUAAAUCGAGACCACGUGUAUUCGUGCAAAUUGUAUCGAAUACGGGUUCUAUUUGUCCACGCAAUCCCUUCUUUGACUUUCCUUCGUUAACGAUUAAUCGUGAUCAAUGAUAAUACAAUGAAAAACGUUUACUCUUUAACCUAGCUUUCGAGGAUGAGCCAGGAGAAUCGAAUAGAAAAGAAUGUCUCUUUCGGCAAUUCAAAAAAGUCGGGUUGUCAGAGACAUCAGCAUAGAUGGAAACAAGGAAGAUGAGGGUUUCGCGCAACCUAAAUUCGCGUAACAUUUUUAUCCGUUUUCAUGUUCCAAUUUUACCCUUUGAAGCAUCGACACGCAACUAAGAAGCACGUAAUGCGAUUCUAUUUUUCCAUUUAUCGUUCAUCCCUUUGUCCAGCACUCGCAGAGCGUCGCAUUUAAAGCAUUAUCCACUCGAUCCGAACAAAAAAGAAACGCAAUUAACGGGGACGAGGUAUACAUGCGUGUUUCGAUCGGAAAAACUCGUGGAGAUCGGAACGUAAUUUCCAUGCGCGAUAUCGACUGUCGCAGCGCGGACUUGACACUCGAUAUUCCGGCAAAAUACCUGGUAAAUUUAUUACCGAUAACAGAAUUUCGAACAGUUCGAUGGAACAACCUCUGGCGGGGCGGAAAAAAUUGACGUCGAAAAAAAAAAAAAAAAAAUAUAGGAGUGUCGGGGGAAAAAAUAUCGGGAAAGCCUGUUGUCCAGCUGGUCGUAGUACCGGGAUUUUCAUCUCAAAAAUCCAGGUUCUCCAAUUAGGGAGGGUGCUGCUAACGGCGCGUGCGUGUGCAUGUCAACGAUAUAAAGAAAGGAAAAAAACAUUUCUCCGACCUUUUCUUUUUCCUUUUUCAUUUAAAUAUAUACUGCUCGUGACUCGACAGCUCGUGUAUGCUUUCCAAGGUAAAUGGCAAUUUUCUACGUACAAGAGAGGCAGGAAAUUAGAAAGGUUCGUCGAGAUGGCAAACGGAUAGGACCCAUGGCCCGAAAAUAAUUAUCAAUUAUAAAUUAAUUUCGAAUUAAUGAGCGAAAACCGGCUUCGUGGCGCGCGCGCCGCUCCACAAUGAAUCCCUCUCCCCGGGGCUAACUCGUUACUACAGUUGUUGCUGCUGCUGCCAGCCGUUGGUGACGCUACUACCGGCAGCUAAUUAACUAUUAAUUAAGAACUUAAUUCCAAUUAUAUGUGUUCUUCGACUAAUUGGAUCCACGAAACACAUUGCUAACGUCACACGGUUACAUAGAUACGAUUACUACGGCUAUCUUCAUAUUUCUUCCUAUGAAAUUAUUUCCAUCGAAGUUUUCACAGUUCAUAUUAGUAGCAACGCAUUUGCAAUAUCGUGUGCGAUAGUUUUAUCGCAAGUGAAAUAAUAAGAAUCGCGUGAAAGAACAAUGAAAGGAUGGCACGAUCUUGAAUGUGUACGAGCGUGAGUUCUAAAAAACGUUCCUUUGAGAUCGUACGCGCAAAUUUGUAACUCGUGUUUUGUCUCGUUGUGUCGCUUGCGAAUGGAUAGGUAAGCGAGUGGUCUUUGAUAUCGCUUCGAAAAGUCUUCUCUUUCUUUCCUUUGCGUCGAUAUUUCAUUGCUGACUUAAUCUAGCCUGAAAAUGUAUGGUUGAAGUUAACACUGAGAAUUGCGUUGGAUAAGUUGUUACGGAUGUCGCGAAACUAAAGUUCUUUAGUUUUGUGAAAAAGGAAGCAUAACCAAAGCUAGUUUUCCAAAUGUGUUAGCACCGAGAAAGCCACGAAAGCUUGGAAAAGAGAAGGCGAGAGAGGAAUUUCGACGAAGUUCGAGUAAAACAGUUUCAUGAACGCGACCGACAUAGAACACAUGGUAUGCGAAAAUAGCGAAGGCGGCUUUUAAAAUGUAUUGUUAAUCCUUCCUUUCUGUGCUGGCGUCUGUAUUCUGCUCUCUUGCUUUCGUCCGCGUUGCACUUCGUCGCUUUUUCAAAACGCUUCUCCAAAGUCAAACGAAUAGCUUUAUAAUCAUUGACGAAGUUCGCUGAAAAGAAAAAAGAAAAAAAAAAAGAAAAAAGAGAACGUCAGGGAUGAAAAGCGUAUCGUUUUUUACUCUAAACUAUAUUGUGCGACGUUUACAACGUCGUUCCUUCCAAUAGAUUUUUGUUUCACUUGGUUAGGAAUCACCUAAUUAUUCGUGAAAAUUAUAUUAAUUCGAUAUACCUAUAUACCUUGUUAGAACUAUCGAGUUUUCAACUAUUCUUCGGUUUGUAGUUACUUAACGAAAACUAUCGCCAAUGUUACUCUCAUCUCGGCACGGUCGAUAAGAAGGAAAGUAUUCCUGCUGUGUCGUCACGAAGACGAAGAACUUAAUGAGGAAGCGUCGGGCGCAUUCAGUGGAUUCAAGCAAAUUUCUUGCAUGCCGGCUUAAUUUUAUCCAACAUUUCUUCCUUGCCCAUACACGCGCCUCUCUAUACCAUCCAGCAGCGUCUUUUCUGAGCCGAGCGUCAAAUAAAUUUUGCUCUAUUUAUUCUAUCAAUCUUGUAAAAAGACUUGGACUCGUAGCAUAACUACCAGCUUCGGGCAGAAUCACUUUCAUUAAAGCGAAAGGAUAAUUAAAAUAACAUGACCACUGAUUGCAAUAUUUUCCACGAACAACGCCAAUGAGUUUGCAUGCACGCAUAUGCAAAAAAUGAAGGAGUCGAAUGGAAAAUAAAUAUUUGAGGCUCGACUGUGCACAGCUUAAGACACCGAGCAUGGAGCUCGCUCGAUGCAUUGUUUCACAAGAUUGUAGAGAGGCCUCUUUACGCCACCCCGGCACCGCGUUGCUUCCUGCUGCCGGCUUUUUAAGUAUGCUUAUUUACCGCAAGCCGUCGAAUCAAUCGCUUUGCACGUCGGAGAACGUAGACGCAAGUGGAUGCUAAUAACCUGAAGAAAAUGGUGUUGCUAUAUGUACUGCAUCGCAACUAAUGGAAAAUAUCAUAGGUACGAAUUGCCGUGUAUCUUUUCAUGUUAUUCUUACGAUAAAUUGCAAUUAUUAUUUUGUGCGGACUAGUUGACGCUAAUAACAUCGUAUCGAGGGUUUGAAGUUUAUUCGUAUUUUCUUUCCAAGCGUAUCCUACGAGAUUAAGCGAAAAAAAGGAACAAAUCCAGACAAAAUUCUUUCUCUUUGUACGAAGAAGUCGAACGAUAUUUUAGAUCUGCGGCUCGAGACGCAGCACUGCAUCUCCUAACUAGAUCGUCUCGCACAAUCGUGGAAAAGAAAUAGCGAAUGACGACGUAUUCUCGUAUUCUCGCGUGAGAAUGAUCGAUAUUAAACACGGCAGGAAGCGUCAGGAUGGCUAAGUAGGAGGCUGUAACCAAAUCGAUUAAUCAAAUCCAGUUAGCUAUUACGGGACCAGCGGGACACGUUUGCCCUCUACCCUGAUAUAUUCCCGGCUUCCCAGCGACCGAUGCUUCUCUCUCCUCUAAUUUGUCCUGGAUCUAAUCCGUUCGUAGUGCCCUCGAAUAUCGUGGGAUGUCGCGACCUCCCUCGGGAACUACGCUAGGGAGACACCGUGUUUGCGCAUACAGCCACUUCAGAAGCAAUUGUUUUUAAUCUUCUCGAUGAGAGAACUCGCAAGAUUACGCUUGCUCGUAUACGUCGUCGUUCUAACAAAUUGACCGUCACUCUGAAACGUUUUAUUGGAUUUAAUAUGACAUUGGACAAGGUCGAUCGAACUACUGAAUUUGAGUGUGAGUUUUGCAGAAAACAGAUAGCGUCUGUAGACUAUGUUCUCUCGCAAUUAUUAAUAACUGAAUAUUUUGGGCGCAAGUUUCAGGAUGUCGAGCAUUCCUUUGAAAUUUGCAACUCAAAGUCUUUUUCCAAACUUUCCUCAUUUUCUGUAGUAAAGUAUAUCAAUUUCAAAGUUGCAGUCUGCGACCAAAGCAUACAUCAAACAGGCCGCGACUUGGAGAGUCAGCAGCCAGAAACUUCAACCCCCUUCUUUCGUUCCUCCCAACGUCCUGCCCGCGAUUACGAACAGCGGAACACAAUCAUCCAGGAAAGUAUCUUCCUCAACUGCUGUCAGGAGCACCGAUAAAAGGAAGAAAUCCAGCAACUUCAGAGAAAACUUUGCGGUCUACUCGGCCAGGAGCACAGACUUUGUGCACACAGAGGCACCCGGAGAGGCAGCUCUCGAAACACCCUCUCGCGUGAAAACAGUGGUAGUUUCCUGGCUAAAUAUAUUCACGCCAUGCGUACGUACACGCUGAGACCAGGCAGUGUUAUUUCGCGCACUCACACAACCAACUCUUGGCGAUUACACGAAGAUUCCAUCGCACAUCCCCACACGUUUACGGUGGUUGACGCGAAUGUACGUGUGCGUGUGUUCCGAGUAGCUGAGAAAAUGUGCGUGUGUAUGCAUUGGCUCGUGGAGCAUCGCGGAGAGGGUGGCGAGAGACGGUGGCGAUACUUGGUGGUGGUGGUGGUUGCGAGUUCCUAAGCGAGGGUGUGCGCGGCGCUGUCGGGUUUCAGGGUGGUUGCAGGGUGGUUGCCAUCGGUGUGUGUCGGUGGCAAGCCGGUUACCAGGCAACCGGCAAUAAAGGAGCGUGGAUAGCCAAUGGCGGCCCUCAAUACACCCCUUCGUCUAACACGGCUUGUUUUCCGUGCUUAAGAGCGAGACAGAAGGAGCUUUUGCUUUAGUAGCUGUUAAGACCUUAAACCCGUGGCCUUGCUUGGCUGGCUUGCGCCAGACUGCUCGUAUCUAAUAGAACCUCUUAGAAACCGACGGCCUGUGUUUCUUCGAUAAUUGAUAUUCUAAUCCUGCCUGAUGCUGCCUCUUAUCGUCACUGAUCGAACCCCAUGAAAUUGCGUUUAACGUUUCAUAGACGGGCAACGGCGUCCAUUCAUCGAUAUACUUUUCUUUCGUUUCCGUUAAGUGGACGAUACGAGGCGAUACUCUUUUUCUUUGGUUAUGGUAGGGUCAACAUCUGCCCUUUGGACUCGCCAUUCGUUGAAAUUGCAUUCAACUGGACACCGGACAGAAGACUCGAUCCGGUGAAAACCGGUCGAGAGAAAGGGAGGCUGCCGAACGACGAGUUUACAUCGAGCAAAUGGAAACGCGCGAAGUGUUACGAGACGGAGGGUGGGUCAGAAACGUCGUCACGUUGUUACACAGUGGCCCGUGUGUACGCUAUCCCAUAGGGAGAGCGAAGGUAGCACGUAGCACACCCCUGGGACGUCUUCAGUCGUCACUUGUCCGUAUUAAACCAGGGUACUAAUCCCGAAAUUUAAUUUGAAAAUCUUUUCAUAGCAUCGUCGUUCAUCCCUUCUUCUUGUCCAUCUUUCUCCAGCUCUCCCUUCCGCGUGUUCGCUAUGCACCGCGAAGUCGUUUUAAACCCAGAGAAUUACCCGGUCUUUUGUGCGUCGUAAUUGAAAAUUCGUUUCCGCCCCUUUUCGCGGCUCGGAGAACGGAUAAAUGCCCUUUCGUGGAUUCAUCGAGAGAAAUUACCUCGUCGCCGUGUGAAUGAGACGACCCGUCGUCUUCUUGUCGUCUUCUUCUUGGUCCCGUUCCGCGAGACGCCCGAUUUCCUCGUUUCGGCCUGGCUGCCAUUUUAUAAACGAAACUACGUAAAUACGAGACGAGCUAGUGAAAGCAGCUGGAUGAUUAACGAAACAAAUGCUAGUUUCCUCGCCGUUUUCUUGCUGGUAUCGCAAACAUUGUCAGGAAAAAUUGAACCUGUCCCGUAACAAUGGAUAAUUAAAAACUCAUGGAUUAUCUCGUUAUCGAACAACAGAUUGUUAUCAAGAAAGUAAUUAUAUACUGUCUUAAAUAUCAUUAAAGAAAUGCAACUAAUUAAUAAAUUGUCCUUUGAAAGUUUAUUCAUAAGGUGCAAUCGUUUGUUAGUCAUUCGUAAUUCAGGAUGUGAAAUCGGGUAGUAAUCCCAUCCGAUAUUACGAGUCAAUUUGAUACGUCACCCUUCACUUUGCUCUACCUAUCAUUCCCAGGAAUCAACGCGUGAAAGAUAAAGAUAAUAAGGUGUAUUCGUACAGUUAUUACAAAUUUUUAAAGCAUCACAAAAUACGCAGUGGUAAUUUUAUCACUGGCAAAUAACGAAAACGAUUAUAAAUAAUAAUAAAGUUAAUAUAGAAAUCUCAAAAUGACUCCGUCACUGAUUUCUCUAUCGAUAGUAAGAUUUAUUUCCAUAAAAAUAAAGAAUCAGCUAAGUAACGACA